GGUUUAUGGCAGCCAGCUCCUUUUUCUGAUGAAAUUGAAGUUGAUUUUAGUAAGGCCCUAUGUCAGGGUAACUAUGGAAGAAGCCAGCAAAGGAACACCUUGAAGUGAACAAAUUUCAGUUUGAUGUUUUAUAACAGAAGUCCAUCAUGGUUCUUUGUUAGUUAAUCUUGUCAAAAAUAAGAUACAUUUCUGACUUCCAGACUUCAGCGUCCACAUGAAGUGCUCCUUGCCUUGUGGAAGAGUUAAUCAAGUCUGCUCUUUAUGCUGUCCUGAUGCUCAUGAUGGAAGAGCAGGUGAAUCACAUUGUGCACAAUUGUCCAGACCUGCUGAAAUAUCUGUGUUUGCUUUAGCCCUUG